GGAAGAGGAGGAUGUUACAGUAAAAUAAGAAGUAGAGGGUGAGGAUGUUACAGUGAAAGAAGAGGAGAAAGAGGAGGAUGCAGUUUUUGAAGUGAAUGAGGAGAAAGAGGGAGAGAGAACUGUCGUAUUGACAGAGGAGUCAGGAGAUCGGAUUACCACCAGAGAGAGACCAGACUCUGACAGCGGGAAGACUUCCUCAGAGGAAACAGACAUGGAGACGCCUAACCAACACCACUGCGGAAAGAGUUUUAAGUGGUUAGGGAGCCUGAAAAUGCAUGAUGCAUGAGAGAACACACACAGGAGAGAAGCCUUAACACUGAUCCCACUGUGGAAAGAGUGGUGGUUAGGUGGUUAUGGGUCCUGAAAAAGCAUGAGAGAAAACACACAGGAGAAAAGCCUUUCCAACAUGCUAAUACACAGGAGGAGAAGACAUACCACUGCUCUCAUUGUGAAAAUACAUUUUCCCAGUCAGAGGACCUGAAAUCACACGAGAGAAUAGAGAGGCUGUGUUCUGACUUUGUCCAUGGCCAGGAUUCACAGGGCCAGGGUGUCCGCUAUAGGCACCUGGAAAAAAUCAGCAGCGGACAUUUCUGAACAUUUAUCCAACAGACCUGUACAUCCAUGAAUGGAUCUCUAUAGUGUGUAACUAUUUCUGCUGUAUUCUGAUGUAUUGUUUAAUUGUACUAUGUUAGGUGUAAUAUUUGUGUUGUGGAGAAAUGACCAGGCAGGAAACGGGAGUACAGUUAGUUUUCGUUUAGUCAAAACCCCUCGUGCUCUACAGUUCCCGGCACCCCAGUGCGCAUGUGCAUUUCCUAUUAGGUGUAGUAACGUAACACUGCCGUAAUGCAUUACUGCUUAGUAACAGCACAGUAACUAAUAUAAACAGAUGUAGAUCCCAGAUACUACAUUAGGUAUAUUUAUCUGUGGGUUUAUUUCAACAGAUUUUACUGAUGCUAUUAGAUUUUACAUUUAUCUGUGGGUUUAUUUAAACAGAUUUCACUGAUGCUAUUAGACUGCUGUGUGGGGGGAGUUUUAUAUAUACAGAGGCUUCAGAAAGUAUUCACACCCCUUGACUUGUCCCACAUGUUGUUGUGUUACCUCCUGAAUGUAUAAUGGUUCCCCCUUGACUUGUCCCACAUGUUGUGUUACAUCCUAAGGAAGAUGUAACACUGGUGGUCUUGAUCUUUAGUCCUACAUGGAACACAGAACAGACUGCCUCCCAUCAAAGGAGGGACAAUGUACAAAAGUAUUUUAUUGCCAAGAUACUCUCCUUUCAACCUACAUGAUGACUAACAGAUGUAUAGAACGGGUCACAAGGUUAAGAUUUGUAUGAAAGAUACUUAAAAUUCUCAGCAGACA